AAUAGUAUCAAAAUUAAUAAAGUAAGAAGUGAAAAUGAGAGACAUAACAAUAGAAACUGAGGAAAUUCAAAAUACCAUCAGAUCCUACUACAAAAGCUGGAGACAAAACUGGAAAAUUUAGAUGAAAUGGAUGACUUUCUAGACAGAUACCAGGAACCAAAGUUAAAUCAAAAGAAAGUUUUCAAUUUAAUCAGACCCAUAGCUCCUAAGGAAAUAGAAGUAUUAAAAACCUCCCAAACAAGCAAACAAAAAGCUCAGAGCUUUAGUGUGGAAUUCUACCAGACCUACAAACAAGAGCUAAUACCAAUACUCCUCAAAUUAUUCCAUGAAAUAGAAACAGAAGUAAUACUAACUAAUUCAUUCUAUGAAGCCACAACUACUCUAAUACUUAAUCAACACAAGAAUCAAACAAAAAAAGAGAACUUCAGACCAAUUUCACUUAUGAAUAUUGGUGCAAAAAUAAUAAAAUUCUUGCAAAUUAAAUCCAUGAAGACAUCAAUACCAUCAUUCACCAUGAUCAAGCAGUCUUUAUUCCAGGGAUGCAAGGUUGGUUCAACAUACAAAAAUCAUUAACAUAAUUCACUAUGUAAACAAACUCAAAGGAAAAAAA
rnacentral:lncRNA from 1 species